rnacentral:rRNA from 1 species
ACUCCUACGGAAGGCAGCAGUGGGGAAUAUUGCACAAUGGAGGAAACUCUGAUGCAGCGACGCCGCGUGAGUGAAGAAGUAGUUCGCUAUGUAAAGCUCUAUCAGCAGGGAAGAUAGUGACGGUACCUGACUAAGAAGCUCCGGCUAAAUACGUGCCAGCAGCCGCGGUAAU